CUGAAACUAUUUUUAUUUUACUGUAUAAAGUGCUAUAAAACUGCAUGUGACAUGACUUGAUGGGAAUUAUAUGAGUGAUUCAUCUAAAGAUAGCAGUAUAUAUCAAAUAUAUAUUUUCUGUAAAUAAGGUUGCUAUGACAUCUACAUUUUAGAAAUGUCACAAUUCUCAAUACCUCAGCAGAAUACCAGGGUAAAAGAACAAAAAAAGUCCUGAAAAAAUAUUCUAAAUAAUUAACUGGCAGUAAUACAAUAAAAACAAAAAAGGAUAAAUACAAUACAAAAAAGAAGCUUUAAGCUUUAAGCUUUAAUUUUUGUAUGCAAGUCUAAAGUAUUCAGCGAACAGCUACUACAGAAAUCUAAUAAUUGAACGUAAAAUUAAACAGCACAGUCUUCACUGUAAGAAUUAAACUUCCUCUGUUCCUUAUUAAAGCUACAAAGUCCUUCAGCGGAGAGCAGUGAGAGAUUUUGUUGUUUGAUUAAUAUGAAGCACACAGUCCGCAGAAGGAAUAUUAGGCUGCUGUCACUUUAAGAGCUGCAUUGAUCCGAUGCACUGUUAUGCAUGUAUUUCAUUCUCAGCUGUUUAUGUUCACUUAAGACAUAACGGAUGAGGGUUUACGUGAAUAAUAAUCACCAAGUGCCCCAUUCUGACACAUUUUUGCGUGUAUUUGACCGUUAAGCUAAAAGUUGACUUUACUCGUCCGUGCUCUGCUUCACACUUUUAAAAAAAAUGAAUAAAUCUAAUCAACUUUGAUAAAUCAAGCACAGAGUCACGUUACAAGAUUUUACUGAUUUGUACGUGAAAUUGAGCUUUUAUGGAGGAGUGAAAGUGCACGCAAUAAUCGUUUUAUCUCAUUACUGUAUAUUCAUAAUUGUUGGACCCCGAGAGAUUCUCAACUGAGCGGCUUCUUCAUCAAGCAUCGCUCUUCUGCUAAAGCCACGCCCACCAGCCCCACACCUGCCGCCGUGGCAACAGCAGAAUCAGACACCCCUCCCCCUGAGCCGGCCGUGACCUCGAGUGACCCCACACCUGUAGCAGCACCUGUAGCAGCUGAGGUCAAAGGGCACGUUCAGGAGGCAGGUGUUUCUCCAGCUGCAGCAGCCACUGCUGAUCCUCCUGAUGAAGAGCGAGAUCAUGGACACAUGACACCAGCGGAGCAGAAAGACACUCAAGACGAGCCUGCAGCCAACAAACUCAAACUCACACUCCAGGACCGCCCCCGAGGAUGACGCCACUGACCGCCAGCGCUCAAAGUCCCUCCCCUCAGCCGCUCCGGCCAAUCACGUCUCCUGAUCGCUCCUGGACCUCGCAGUGGCUCCUGCUUCAGAAAGCACAGUUCAAUAAUCAUUUCUUGUUAAACUACAGUAUAUAUACAGUUUACAGCUUAUGAGCAAUGUUGAGUGCUUCUCAACUAGGGGGCCUCAAAAACUCUAACAUGACUUAAAAUUAUUUGCUAAAUAAUCAAUAUGUAAUUUCUCCUCCUCCCAGUGUUAUUACAGCAUCCCUGAGAUUUUGUUGUAGUCUUUUAAAAAUGUUUUUUAAUAUAUUGUCUUGUUUUUCAUAUUUAUUUUAGUUAAAGUUUUAGUGUUUUUUUUUAAUAUGUCUAAAUAGUUUUAAGUUUUUGUUAUUUCAGUACAGCAACACUUUACUUUCAUUUUAUUUCAUAUUUACGGUCAAAAAUUUGCAGCUGUAGUUGCUAGAGUUAAACCGUAAAAAAUACAGUAGCAACAUUUCAUUAACUGAUCCAGUGUUAAUAUACCAACCUACUAAAGUGUAUAUGUAUGUAUGUAUGUAUGUAUGUAAUAAUCGUUUAAAUAUAUUAAUUCCAUUCUGACACAUAAAUAUAAAUCUGUGCCAUAAUUCUCUAUAAACGUUAGAGCCUUCUCCAGUAAUAAGCAAAGAUGAUUCUGAUUGGUUCAUCCUGAGCAGCGCUGAGAAAAGUAACAGACACACGUGACAGCCGUCAACGCGCUAUAGGCAGCUGAAUGAAUUUAGAAUCGCAUACUUCGCCUUUAAGCAUUCUAUUUAAAGUAUUGUGGUAGUAUAAUAUUCAAAUUGAGCCUAGAAUUAUUAUUUAUUUUAGACCGUCAAUCGAGCGCUUCCGGGCCGCGAAGCCCCGCCCACUCC
rnacentral:lncRNA from 1 species